rnacentral:lncRNA from 1 species
ACAAAAGAGCAAAUAAUUAAUCUUUCACAAGAACAUGUAUAUAAAAUACUAUUAUGUAUUUCACGUAUGUUCUAUAUUUCUGUUACAGCUCCACUUCAUACUAUAGGAAUAGGUUGGAAAAAUAUCCAAUUUCCAUCAUAUAGGAAUCUUUUAAUCUUUGAGCUAUUAUCCGCAAGGUGGCACUGUUGUUGAGAUUGCAUUCACACAAAAAGUGGAAAAGAUAGUUUUAAUAAUAGUAGUAGUAAAUUAAUUUGCAACAAAUUCUACAUGUUAUAUGCAAUCAUAGGAGCUAUUAUCCGCAAGGUGGCACUGUUGUUGAGAUUGCAUUCACACAAAAAGGGGAAAAGGUAGUUGUAAUAAUAGUAGUAGUAAAUUAAUUUGCAACAAGUUCUACAUGUUAUAUGCAAUCAUAGGAGCUAUUAUCCGCAAGGUGGCACUGUUGUUGAGAUUGCAUUCACACAAAAAGGGGAAAAGGUGAUUGUAAUAGUGGUAGUAGUAGUAUUAGUAGUAGUAGAUGCAAUGUGUCGUUGAAUUAAUGGGGAUAACUACGUUAGGGAGGGUCGCGUGGCAUCAGAGUAAACGUGAAAGAGAAAA